rnacentral:tRNA from 3 species
GCCGGGGUAGCUCAGCCUGGUGAGAGCGCCGGACUCAUAAUCCGGAGGUCGCGGGUUCGAAGCCCGCCCCCGGCA